AAUUCGCUCUUAGAGUUUGAUCCUGGCUCAGGAUGAACGCUGGCGGCGUGCUUAAUACAUGCAAGUCGAACGAAGUUUGUAUCAAUACAUUCUUAGUGGCGAACGGGUGAGUAACGCGUUGGUGACCUGCCCCGAAGAGGGGGAUAACAGUCCGAAAGGACUGCUAAUACCCCAUGUGAUCCCCGGUUUUAGAAUCUGGUGAUUAAAGGCGAAAGUCGCUUCGGGAGGGGCCUGCGUCCCAUCAGCUAGUUGGUAGGGUAAUGGCCUACCAAGGCUAUGACGGGUAGG
rnacentral:rRNA from 1 species